rnacentral:misc_RNA from 1 species
GAUGAAGAACGUAGCGAAAUGCGAUAAGUAAUGUGAAUUGCAGAAUUCAGUGAAUCAUCGAAUCUUUGAACGCACAUUGCGCCCGCCAGUAUUCUGGCGGGCAUGCCUGUUCGAGCGUCAUUUCAACACUCAAGCCCCCGGGCUUGGUGUUGGGGAUCGGCGUGCCCUCGCGGCGCGCCGUCCCCUAAAUCUAGUGGCGGUCUCGCUGUAGCUUCCUCUGCGUAGUAGCAACACUCGCACUGGAUCGCAGCGCGGCCACGCCGUUAAACCCCCCACUUCUGAAAGUUUGACCUCGGAUCAGGUAGGAAUACCCGCUGAACUUAAGCAUAUCAAUAAGCGGAGGA